AAGUCGUAACAAGGUUUCCGUAGGUGAACCUGCGGAAGGAUCAUUAUUGAAAUAAACCUGAUGGGUUGUUGCUGGUUCUCUAGGGAGCAUGUGCACACCUUGUCAUCUUUAUAUCUCCACCUGUGCACUUUUUGUAGACCUUUCAGGUCUAUGUUGCUUCAUUUACCCCAAUGUAUGUUAAUAGAAUGUUGUGCCUAUAUAAUAUAUACAACUUUCAGCAACGGAUCUCUUGGCUCUCGCAUCGAUGAAGAACGCAGCGAAAUGCGAUAAGUAAUGUGAAUUGCAGAAUUCAGUGAAUCAUCGAAUCUUUGAACGCACCUUGCGCUCCUUGGUAUUCCGAGGAGCAUGCCUGUUUGAGUGUCAUUAAUAUAUCAACCUUCUCUUUUUUGAGUUGUUUGGAUGUGGGGGUUUGCUGGCCUCUUAAAUGAUUCAGCUCCCCUGAAAUGCAUUAGCAGAACAACCUGUUCAUUGGCGUGAUAAUUAUCUAUGCUAUUGAAUGUGAGGGCAGUUCAGCUUUCUAACCGUCCUUGGACAAUUCAUCAUUAAUGUGACCUC
rnacentral:rRNA from 1 species